rnacentral:rRNA from 1 species
UACGAAGGGGGCUAGCGUUGCUCGGAAUCACUGGGCGUAAAGGGUGCGUAGGCGGGUCUUUAAGUCAGGGGUGAAAUCCUGGAGCUCAACUCCAGAACUGCCUUUGAUACUGAGGAUCUUGAGUUCGGGAGAGGUGAGUGGAACUGCGAGUGUAGAGGUGAAAUUCGUAGAUAUUGGGAAGAACACCGGUGGCGAAGGCGGCGCUCUGGACCGAGACUGACGCUGAGGCGCGAAAGCGUGGGGAGCAAACAGG